CAAGUUAGAGCUUGAUUAAAGCAUUUUAUUUACAUUAAAAAGUUAAUUGUUAGAUUCAAUUUAAUUUGA
rnacentral:tRNA from 1 species